rnacentral:lncRNA from 1 species
AAAAGACCGCUACAAAAAAUGUAACUUGCUCUUCAAAAACAAGAAAAAAAAAACAUUACGACCAUUAAACAUAAGCUCAUUAAAAAGAGAAUAAACGAUAUCUCGAAGAUUCCCUUGAAAUAAGGACUCCGUAAUCGCUAUUCUCAGAAAGGGCAUAUUCGAGUGUUGAAGGAAGGAAAUCCUUCUCAAAUUCAUGCAGCCAUAGGCAACUGUUUAGUGGAAUGAAAGGAAGAUGACUGAUAGCAUCAAGGUAACUGUUUUUUUGCUGGUGCUCAAAAAAGGUUAAGGGAACGUCUGCUAAGCAAAUUUCACAUAAGAAGCACUUCUCCUUUAGUUUUCCAAGUAUUAAAAUACUACUUCCGUUUAAAAGCUUCAUGUCUAAAACAGUUGCGGGCUGGAAAUCCAACAGACUGCUUCCUAGUAAUUCUGCAUAAUCCAAGCCAAAGUGGCAUCCAGAUACAGGCAACAUAGUAUUUUCCAUAAGUUGGGAAAUUAUUAAGAAUAUAUUCGGAGUAUCCUUUCGAAAGAAUAAUGAAAAUAAUUGGUUUUUUUCAUUACAGGAUUUUGGUAUAAGAGAUGAUACAUUCCAAUCAGUCCCUUCAAACAAAACAAGGUCUCCGGUUUUUAACCAUUGCUUUUGACAAGUUAAAGAAGGGUAGCUAAAAAUGACGUUGAAUGAGUCUCUUAAAGAUUCUUUCAAGGUUUUGAAUGAUACGAAAUCAUCAACAGAAUUACUGUCGUCUUGAUUUGCAAAAUCCUUGAGAGAAUAAUAAUCAGGAUCUCUUAGCUGAAGGGGUUUUGUGCCCAUAAAGUAACUUGUUAGUUUCGAGCGGAAUAAAGAAUGACGAAUAUAAAUUACGGUUUCAUUAAUAUGUUCAAUAAUCUCUUGCGGUGGAAUAGAAGAUGGUUCAGAAGUAUUAAACUCGACGAUAGCGUAAUUCAACCAUGAAAUAAAGUGCUUCAUAUACUUUUUUUCCUCAAAAAGGCAAUUGAGAAACGAAAAAACAUUAUUCUGUAAAUAACCCAAAGUUGCUAGACAAUCUUCCACCAAUUUAGCAUCUAGUAAUGUGUUUCCCUUCAUAUGGCCCCAUAUUGACUUUCCUCUGGCAGAAGAUAAUAAUACAGUUAACCUUUCACAAGCAGGUAUUACGAAUUCCUGACAGAAAAUGAUUAAGGACGUGUACGAAUUCACCAUCGCCCGUUCCCAAUUUUUUAGUACUCGAUCACCGACUCUUUCGUUGAUCCAUUCUUUGAGUAAGUCGCUGGGUAUACCGUUCAUUAUAAAUUGAUAUAACUCUAGUUGUAAAGAAAAGAAAGUUGUGUCACUGUACUUGGACACUAAAGCAUCAAAGGUUUUAAUAAAGCUAGCUUCUGAUUUGAAGACAUUGUCAAAUUCUUCAUACAUAGCAUUCAAUACCUCCUCAAGAUAUCUUACCAAAUGUUGCAUACGUGUAGACAUUGUUGCAAUAUCCACAAUACUUCCCAAAUCAUUUUUAAGUAAUGGCAUAUAAAGUGUUUUCAAAGAAAUAUUCGUUCCUCCUUUACAAAUAAGAACAUGAUAUGCUAAGUCGUUGGUUAUGCUGUGUGAAAUGGGAACCCCCUAUAAUUUGUGUGAGCAA